AUAAAGAUGACGUUUAUACGGUGUUUAGACCGUGUUUGAUUGAGUGUGUUGGACAGCUGUAAUUAUGAAUUUUAGGGGAAUCUUAUGAAACGGUCUUGAGACGUGUGCAAAUUUGAAAGGGUGGGCAGGGCUUUUCGGCUGAACUAACGAGGAAGUCCUGAAAGUUUUUUCUCGUUGAAAAGAGCCAUGUGCAGCUUGACAUAAAGUCUGAGCUCUGGAUGAGCAGAAAUGUGGAUUCUACCGCAGAACGUUUGAGAGAACGAUCAAAGUUUGGGUUUCUUUUUGUUGAGCCUGCGCUGCUUCUGCGUCCGAGUCGGGAAACAAAGACACGGCAGGCUCAAUGAAGAAUGCCAGGCUGCACAGCUCUCUUCCUCUCAGCAUUAACAGUGACUCUCUUCUGUGCUGUAGUCGGUCAGACUAAAUUCACUGUAAGUGCAGAACAGGAGGUCUACCGUGCAGAAGAAAACACUAAUGUCACAAUGAUCUGGCUGCUCCAUUUUGACACCAACAGGCCUCCUGACUCCCUGCUAAUAGACCUAAUGAAUGUGAUAAGGACGACACAGAUUUUCUUCUAUAACAGUGAGACUGACACUGAAGUGUACCCAGAUGAGAACUACAGAGGGCGACUACAUUGUGAUCCACGGCUAGCCAGGAAAGGAAGGCUUGAAUGUCUUUUAACUGAUGUAAGGCUUAACGACACGGGGACAUAUGACUGUAUGAUUGUCCUUAACAGAGAAAGUAGCUACAAAACAUGUGACCUCAAUGUUAAAGCUGCCUUCAAGAAACCUGUUGCAGAGACAUCAACACCAGUGAGGAGUGGGAGGAGCAGCCUAUAUGCAGUGCCAGCUUUGUUUAUAGUGGCGAUUUUUGUACUUUUUUGUAAAUAACUGCUGUGUAUUUAUGUGAAGUAGCAGCCCAUUACAGAUCACUCCUGAGGUCACCUCUGACUGUAAUGAGGCUGCUGACAGUUUUUUUUUUAAAGUACUGUCAAAAUUCCUCAGAGCUGCACCACAGAGCAGUGCACACUUACAUCAUCCUUCACUCUCCCAUAUUUAACACAAACUUAUGCACUUUUAUUCCCUAGUUUGUUUGUUUUUUUCAAUGAUUUUUCCAUUAUUUUUACACCCUGACUUGCUGCAUCCCAUGUUGUUAUGUUUAGACUAAAACAUGUGGAAAAGAGAAGUUUAAUCAUCACUUUACCAAAAACACUAUUUAUCCCAAAUCUGAAACAUGUUUGUUCAUCCUCGCUGGAUUGUUAUUCACACCACAAUAUUGUCAUUAUUCACACAAUGUAUUUAUUUUUCAUUGGUACACUGUGUGGUUAGCACAAAUGCUAACCAUAAACUGAAGGUAAUAGGGUAAGCAGCUGCUUUGUUAUAGUUCUUACAGUUUUAAUGCUACCUCAACUUUAAAAUUUACAUUUUUGUACUGAAGGAGUUAAAAAUAUGCUGCUAAUUAACUCUGGUGCUCAUUGGAGCUCCUUCAGUUUACAUAGAAGUGUUUUUGUAUCAGCUUCUGUUUGGAAACCAUCUUCUUCUAUGGAGCAGUUUAGACUUUAUAAAGGUUUAUGUGCGGCUACGUUUUAAAGCUCCACAUGGUCAAAAUAGUUUGCUAUUUGUCAUUAAUGCAAACUAGUGUUAUGAAGUCCACCGAUCAGUGUUUAUCCAUCAUUGACCUUAAGAAGAAUGCACUUUGCUCACAGCUGAUGACAAAGACUUGAUUGGAAUCAGUAAUUUGAUGAAUGUUUUUUUUUUCCUUGACAUGUUUCUACCUCAUAUUAUCCACUUUACAUUGGUCCAGAGGAGUCGUCCAUUACAGAUUACCCUUUCAGUUAACCUCUUUCUGUAAUGGAAUGUUAAUAUUAACUGGGAUUUCCUGUCCAGAUUUUAAUCAUCCACCAGACACUGUAAUGUCUGCUGGACGUUUUUUUCAAGUUGUUGGUGUGACCAGAGAGGUGCAAUGAGUGAGAUUAAUUACUUAGUGGAAUAUGUUUUACCUCAUGUUUUAUCAAAGGGAGCUUCAUUAAUUCAUAAGAUUAACCAAUAAGAUGCUCUCUCACCUUAUUUGUUUCUGUUAUACUUUCUAAUAACCUUUUUUUGGUCUCUGACUGGGGUGUUAGAUUUUUCUGAGCAUUUUGUUGAACCAUAGUAAAUCCCUCUGGUCUUAAUUCCAGUGUUAGAUCCUCGAGGUCUUUAUUCCAUCACCUCUUUGUAAUCAACUGAAUGAACACUCAUUUAAAAAAAAAAUGAUGGCACAUUGUUUUUCAGAAAUUUC